CAGAAUAUAGUUUAAUAAAAAUAUUAGUUUUGGAGACUAAAGAUAUCCAAAUAAUUAUUCUGA
rnacentral:tRNA from 1 species